GGCCGGUUAGCACAAUUGGUAGUGUGUCUGACUACGAUGGGAUCAUCCCAGUUAUCAGGAGGUUGCGGGUUCGAGCCCCGUGCUGGUCA
rfam:Malassezia sympodialis ATCC 42132 genomic scaffold, msy_sf_10